rfam:Agrilus planipennis Contig7314, whole genome shotgun sequence.
CCUCUUGUAGCUUAGUGGUUAGAACAUUGGUGCGCAAAGCCAAAGGUCCCGGGUUCGAUUCCCGGCAAGGGUG